rnacentral:rRNA from 1 species
AACGAACGCUGGCGGCAUGCCUAAUACAUGCAAGUCGAACGAACACUUCGGUGUUAGUGGCGCACGGGUGCGUAACGCGUGGGAAUCUACCCUUGGGUUCGGAAUAACAGUUGGAAACGACUGCUAAUACCGGAUGAUGACGUAAGUCCAAAGAUUUAUCGCCCAGGGAUGAGCCCGCGUAGGAUUAGCUAGUUGGUGAG